rnacentral:SRP_RNA from 1 species
GGCCGGGUCCUACGGGUGCUCGACAGACAAACUCCGCCAGGACCGGAAGGUAGCAACGGUAGUCAUGAUCGUGCUAGCCGUGGGUAACCUGGCCACC